AGUGAACGCUGGCGGUAGGCCUAACACAUGCAAGUCGAACGGCAGCACAGUAAGAGCUUGCUCUUACGGGUGGCGAGUGGCGGACGGGUGAGGAAUACAUCGGAAUCUACUUUUUCGUGGGGGAUAACGUAGGGAAACUUACGCUAAUACCGCAUACGACCUACGGGUGAAAGCAGGGGAUCUUCGGACCUUGCGCGAUUGAAUGAGCCGAUGUCGGAUUAGCUAGUUGGCGGGGUAAAGGCCCACCAAGGCGACGAUCCGUAGCUGGUCUGAGAGGAUGAUCAGCCACACGGGAACUGAGACACGGUCCAGACUCCUACGGGAGGCAGCAGUGGGGAAUAUUGGACAAUGGGCGCAAGCCUGAUCCAGCCAUACCGCGUGGUGAAGAAGGCCUUCGGGUUGUAAAGCCCUUUUGUUGGGAAAGAAAAGCAGCAGGUUAAUACCCCGCUGUUCUGACGGUACCCAAAGAAUAAGCACCGGCUAACUUCGUG
rnacentral:rRNA from 1 species